UACGGAGGGUGCAAGCGUUAUCCGGAUUUACUGGGUUUAAAGGGUGCGUAGGCGGCGCGGAAAGUUGGGUGUGAAAUCCCUCGGCUUAACCGAGGAACUGCGCCCAAAACUACCGUGCUUGAGGGAGAUAGAGGUGAGCGGAACUUAGGGUGGAGCGGUGAAAUGCGUUGAUAUCCUAAGGAACACCGGUGGCGAAAGCGGCUCACUGGAUCUCUUCUGACGCUGAGGCACGAAAGCUAGGGUAGCGAACGGG
rnacentral:rRNA from 1 species